AUUCCUUCAAAGAUGACCUACCAAGUAAACCGUAGAAGUGGUACAAGAUUAACACAACCAAAACUUUCAGACAGAAAAUAACUGACGCAAGCUCAAUAUGAAUUACUCAAAUUAUAAAGGAGAAGGAAAAUGUCUAAUUAUAUUAUAUAUCAUCAUAUAUAUAUAUAUAUUCAAAUGGGAACGUACUCCAUUUUUGAAAUUGAAACGUUAUUCUAAGGCAUAGGGUUUAGGAAUCAUCUGGCGCAUUUCAAUUACAACAAUUACUCGCCACCUAUACCCUUUCACAAAGUGGCACCAGCAAUAGCCUCUCACUUGGAGUUGGAGACACCUUGCUCUAUCCAUCAAGUAGCACCACACUGCGCGCAGCUUCCACAAAAUGCCUACCUAUGCUUGCGUUCCCGGUCCCUUUCUCUUGACCCUCUUGAA
rnacentral:misc_RNA from 1 species